UAGAGGUUAUAUCUUCAUUUUUAUCAGCAGUUGAUUUAGUAACAGGGGAUGAGCCGGUGUCUUUCAGAGAUGUGUUUCUGUAAGAGUCAGUUACAAAAGUGGCAAUUAACUCAGGUACAACCUCUGAUAUGUCAUCGUGCGCCAAAGCAGGUUUAUCUUUCAUCACUUUCUUCCCUUUUCUGUAUGAAGAUUUUGGGCCAAGUCUUCUGAUUCGUCUGAGCUUCUUCUUUUUUCUUUCCUUUAGUUCCAUUUCUACCACUUCUUGGGGUUCUGCCAGGUCACGUAUGAAAGCAGAAAAGAAGUUCUGCAAUUGGUUUUGGUCUAAAUUCAAGGUUCUCGCUAUUUUGGAGGAGGGGCUUGAAACCUGGGCUGAAGAAGUGUUAAGCCCUAAUACACUUGGAUCAAUAGCCUUGUUCCUUUCACCUGAGAAUUUGAAUGGCCUGUGAUGCCUUUUUUGUCGAGGCCCACUCCUGUAAUUG
rnacentral:lncRNA from 1 species